rnacentral:lncRNA from 1 species
AUGAACUUGGAGUCCACACCUGUGCAUGGGCAUGUGGAGGCUGGGUGGACACCUGGUUUGAAGGACAAGAAGGUCCUCGCCCCUCCCUACAGCAUCUCUCCAUUACCAGGAGGCCAGACGCUGACAGUCCUCUCAUCAACAGGUCACUCCUUGGGGACAGCAUCACUGCAUCUGCUUACCUCUUUUUUUAAAAAUGAGCCCCUCCCCCACCAGGCACUCCACAGUUCUCGGCACUGUUUCCUGCAGAUGGGCUCGGCCUGGCUAGGGCAAGCAUGGGGAAGGAGGACAAAGGCACGUGAAGGGGCUUCAUCAAGUUCAUGCGAAAUGCACAUGACGCGACGCGUGGACUUCAAAAUAAACUUCGCUUUGACUGCUCUUCUACAAACGCUUCCGCUGCAGGCCCCCCAUACGCCCAGAUACCCUGAGUCACACAGCCCGGGACCUGAGGACCCCCAUGGCUUGGAAGAAGAGGACUAACCGGUGUUGGUGUUGGCAGUUCACGGCCCUAGCAGGUCGCCGUGACUGAGGAGUCUUGGGCUGUGGGGCACACAGCCAGUGAGUGGCUUCAGGCUGAGAAAGAGGCAUUCUCCCGUACCCACCAGGGGUAGGUUUUCCCGCGGGUUCCCUCCACGGUGGAACUCCCAGCCCCUGCAGGAGGGCAUCUGAUUUCCUUCCUUCCUUCCCUCCUUCCCUCCCUCCCUCCCUCCCUUCCCUCCCUCCCUUCCCUCCUUCCCUCCUUCCCUACUUCCCUCCCUUCCCUUCUUCCCUCCCUCCCUUCCCUUCCCUUCCCUUCCCUUCCCUUCCCUCCCUUCCCCUUCCUUCCUUCCUUCCUUCCUUCCUUCCUUCCUUCCUUCCUUCCUUCCUUCCUAGGAUUAUUUUAUUUAUUUGAAAGAGUUACAGAGAGGUAGAGACA